rnacentral:miRNA from 1 species
UAGGGAGGAUACCUGGUGUGU